GGCUUAGAAGCAGCCAUCCUUGAAAGAGUGCGUAAUAGCUCACUGGUCAAGUGGUUCUGCGCCGACAAUGUAGCGGGGCUCAAGCGCACCGCCGAAGCCGUGGCAGCAGCGCUUUCGCCCUCCUCCCCCCUCUUGGAUGGGGUGGUGGGUGCGCUGCUGGGUAGGGGAGCGUCCUGCGCGGGGCGAAGCCCGGGGGUGACCCCUGGUGGACCGCGUGGGAGUGAGAAUGCAGGCAUGAGUAACGAAUUCUGCGGUGGGAAUCCGCAGCGCCGAUUGACUAAGGGUUCCAGGGCCAGGUUCAUCCGCCCUGGGUUAGUCGGGUCCUAAGGCGAGGCCGACAGGCGUAGUCGAUGGUCGACCAGUUGAUAUUCUGGUACCGCGCGGCGACCGCCAGUGCCGAUACCGCUGUGCUAACCGCCCGCACCGCCCCUCCUGCGCUUUCGGGCGCGGGGGUGGGCCGUGUCGCGGGGCCCCGGUGGUGGAGGCAAGCGUGUUGACAGGGGUGACGCAGGAAGGUAGCCGCAAUGCGCCGGUGGUUGUGCGUAUUCAAGGCUGUGGCCCGUCCCCCAGGCAAAUCCGGGGGGCAUGUGGGUGAGGGCUGAGGAGGGACACACGCGUGUGUGGACUUGUGGUGAUCCUAUGCUGCCGAGAAAAACCCCGACGUGAGGGCGCCGCGCGCCCGUACCCCAAACCGACUCAGGUGGUCAGGUAGAGCAUACCGAGGCGUUCGAGUGAAUCAUGGUUAAGGAACUCGGCAAAAUUCCUCCGUAACUUCGGGAUAAGGAGGACCCCUUGGCCUGCUCCCGCCGCGCGCGGGGGCGGGGCCGGGGGGUCGCAGAGAAUAGGGAGAAGCGACUGUUUAUCAAAAACACAGGUGCGUGCGAAGCCGCAAGGCGAUGUAUACGCACUGACGCCUGCCCGGUGCUGGAAGGUCAAGAGGAGCCCUCAGCCCCCCAGUGGGGGCGAAGGGGCGAAUUCAAGCCCCAGUAAACGGCGGUGGUAACUAUAACCAUCCUAAGGUAGCGAAAUUCCUUGUCGGGUAAGUUCCGACCUGCACGAAUGGCGUAACGACUUCUCCGCUGUCUCAACCGCGAACUCGGUGAAAUUGCAGUACGAGUAAAGAUGCUCGUUUCGCGCAGAAGGACGGAAAGACCCCGGGACCUUUACUAUAGCUUGGUAUUGGUGUCCGCUUGUGCUUGUGUAGGAUAGGUGGGAGACUGUGAAGCGGCCGCGCCAGCGGUGGUGGAGUCGUCGUUGAAAUACCAUUCUGGUUCAAGCGGGCGCCUGAACCUGGGCCCGUGAUCCGGGCCGGGGACAGUGCCUGGUGGGUAGUUUAACUGGGGCGGUUGCCUCCUAAAAGGUAACGGAGGCGCUCAAAGGUCCCCUCAGCCUGGUUGGCAAUCAGGUGGCGAGUGCAAGUGCACAAGGGGGCUUGACUGUGAGACCGACGGGUCGAGCAGGUGCGAAAGCAGGAACUAGUGAUCCGGCCAUGGCACGUGGGUGCGUGGUCGCUCAACGGAUAAAAGGUACCCCGGGGAUAACAGGCUGAUCUUGCCCAAGAGUCCAUAUCGACGGCAUGGUUUGGCACCUCGAUGUCGGCUCGUCGCAUCCUGGGGCUGGAGUCGGUCCCAAGGGUUGGGCUGUUCGCCCAUUAAAGCGGUACGCGAGCUGGGUUCAGAACGUCGUGAGACAGUUCGGUCCCUAUCCUCUGUGCGCGCAGGAAAUUUGAGGAGGGCCGUCCCCAGUACGAGAGGACCGGGAUGGACGAACCUCUGGUGUGCCAGUUGUACCGCCAGGUGCAUGGCUGGUUAGCUACGUUCGGAAGGGAUAACCGCUGAAAGCAUCUAAGCGGGAAGCCUGCUCCAAGAUGAGAUUUCCACGCCCCCACCGUGGGGUGAGAGGCCCCCGCCAGACUAGCGGGUUGAUAGGCCAGAGGUGGAAGCACCGCGAGGUGCUCGCGAGCCGACUGGUACUAAUUGGCCAACACUAAACAAC
rnacentral:rRNA from 1 species